GUCCCGUUUACCUUGCAUCGUGCACAGAGAAGUGGGUGAAGAUACAUGUAGGAUGAGAGUAAACUAAAAAUACCAUGGUGACAGGAAAAUUUAUACAAAACAAGUUAAGGAAUCAGAAAGUAAUUUUAGAAUCAUUAAGCUUGCAGUGACUGUGCAGUCUUGAAAUGUGAUUUUUUGUUAUACCAGAGUUCAAGUUCUUUUACUGCGCACAAGCAUGUUUUGUGGGGCUUUCUUGACAGCUCAGAUGAAUGGCAUGGCAACUUUGCCAUAAAAAAGUGGGGUUCAGUAGAUCUACCCCAGCAGUGAAAGGAUGCAAUGUAACUACAGAACAUAUGUCUUGAAAAGGCAUCAGUAUUUACUUUUAGCAGCUGAUGUUUCUUCCUGAUGCUUGUCUGUAUCACUAACCUCUUGGCUGUUUACAAGCAGUUCAGAAUUUGGAAGGCAGGUGGCUACUUACAUAAAACCCUGAACUAGUGUUUAAGUACUUAACUCUCCUUGAAUUCUCUCUCUCAAAAUUACAGGGUUUCCAGAUCUGGUGUCUAGUUUGUCUAGAAGAAGGAGUUUGCCUGAGGAUCUUCUCUUCUGGAGAAAGUGGUUUGGAGAAGAUGGAAAGGAAUAUUAGUUGACUGAGUUGUCAGCAGAGCACAGCAAAUGACAGGAGCUUGGCUAACUGUGGAUGCAUGGACAGGACCGGCUGACAAGAGAAGGGAGGAGUGCAUCAGAGCAGUGCAUUGGACUCUCUGUCACAGGAGGAAAUGGAGAGAAGUUCUUCAUAAUUUUUGAGUUAGGCUGGAAACAGAGUAAGCCAAAAUUCUGGUUUUCUACUUCUGGACAAUUAAAGAAGAACAGCCACUAUAGGUCUGUCUGUCUACACUCGUGUUGCAAGGGCACACUGCUCACUCCUGCUCAGAUUGCCCACCAGCUCCUUCUACAGAACUGCUCCCUAGCCAGCUGCAUCUGCUGUUGUUGCAGAACACAAGUGCAAAACUCGGCUUGUUUCUUCAUUGAUCUCCCUGAGCUUCUUUUUGGCCCUCCUCCUAGCCCACAGUUUGGAUAAUACAAUGCUAUGGGAUACUGCAUAGGAAGUCAAUAUAAAUUACAUCAGUAUAUCUCCAACUGUACACAGUGCUGCCAUUUCAUCACAAGAAGUAAUCAGGCCAGUAAAGAACAGGUUUCCACACAUAAAUCUACAUUCCCAUAUUUUUCCAUAUUCUUCUACUUAUCUUCUUGAAGAUGUGUUUAACAUCUGGGUGUUUUUUUGUCUUUUAUUUUAUUUUAUUUUAUUUUAUUUUAUUUUCCUGGUCAUUGCUCAUUUUUCAAUCCUCUCACUUUGAAAAUAUACCAAUUUCCAUUGGCUUUAGAAGAAUUUAAAAUGUAUCUUGGUACAUUUCAUUUGAAUUCCUAUUUCUGUCAAAAUGUAUAGUGACCCAAAUUUAGUGUAAAAAGCCUGAAUGUAAUAAGAAAAGGCAAUAAUAAAGAACACACAAAUGUAAUAAAUGUAGAUGAU
rnacentral:lncRNA from 1 species